rnacentral:rRNA from 1 species
GAUGAACGCUGGCGGCGUGCCUAAUACAUGCAAGUCGAGCGAACAGAUGAGAAGCUUGCUUCUCUGAUGUUAGCGGCGGACGGGUGAGUAACACGUGGAUAACCUACCUAUAAGACUGGGAUAACUUCGGGAAACCGGAGCUAAUACCGGAUAAUAUUUUGAACCGCAUGGUUCAAUAGUGAAAGACGGUUUUGCUGUCACUUAUAGAUGGAUCCGCGCCGCAUUAGCUAGUUGGUAAGGUAACGGCUUACCAAGGCAACGAUGCGUAGCCGACCUGAGAGGGUGAUCGGCCACACUGGAACUGAGACACGGUCCAGACUCCUACGGGAGGCAGCAGUAGGGAAUCUUCCGCAAUGGGCGAAAGCCUGACGGAGCAACGCCGCGUGAGUGAUGAAGGUCUUCGGAUCGUAAAACUCUGUUAUUAGGGAAGAACAAAUGUGUAAGUAACUAUGCACGUCUUGACGGUACCUAAUCAGAAAGCCACGGCUAACUACGUG